UUCCUCCAGCAGAGACCUUAGCUUCUAUGUCUUGCACUGAAAUGAGGAACUACCCCUUCCUCACCCUUCCCUCUCUUCGGUAAUUAAGUACAGGCUGAUAUGUAGAUUCUAGACAAUAGGAAUUCCAGAGGGUCUCUCGCGCUCGUUCUUUGUUAGCACAGGCUUCCGGAGAGCCGCAGCAGAUUCGAUGGAACAACAGGAAGAUAUUCCAAAAGCCAGAAGCCCGGUCCAGUCGUUUUAGCUGUUCAUUCAGAGGUCUCUCUCUCACACACACAAACACACACACGGCAGGAAGAUCUAAAACAAGACGGAAUGCUGCUAUAGAGAAUCGAGACCUUCUCCAGGCGUGUCAUCUCAUCCAGCUGUCUGAAUCGCCCCCUUCUCCCCGAUUCCUGCGCCUAACGUCGAAAGGGCUGAGAAAAUUGCCCCUCUCUGCCACGACGUUGCAUUUCCAGGUGGCUCUGGUGCGCGCUUGGCGUCAAGGAGAUGCCACCCCACGCUGCAUUAGGACCCGGGGAGAACUGCUCUAUUCAGAGCCCAGUGCGCCUGCGCUACACUGAAGUGUCCGGAGACCGGGCUGGCUGGACUGAGCAGCAACGAACGGCAAGAUACAGCGGCGGCGGCAGCGGCAGCGGCAGCGGCAGCAGCAAGUUCUCUGGCACCCAGCCCUUCAGCACCACCUGCGAGAUCUUGGGCGGCGGGCGCGUGGGAGGGGGGGAGCAGAGAGAGACGCGCUGAUCUUCAUCUCCUCAGCACAACCCACCUGAGGCUUCAGUGUUACUCAACCUGCCUGGAUCGCCUGCUGUCCUCAGCCUGACACGCAGGGAAGGACUAGGAGGAAUAAAGAUACCCUACUCCUGACUGAUCCCCUCCCCUCCCCGCAUCCCCCCUUUGCGUCCCUUCCCACCUCUUCUUAAAGACAAAUAAAUUAGCUAAGCUCUGUCGCUCUGUCUCUCAUCAAGGGAAGCUUUACGUGUGAGGGCUGGAGCGCUGUCCAUUUCAGCACCACGCUACUCAGAGCAAACCUAAGCCCGUGCCUAAAUCACUGCUCUUUGAUCAAUCCCAGGAGGGGGCCUUCGGGCAAAAGCUGCAGGUACCAAGGGCGCCUUCAGGGCUGCUGCAAAGUGUGCUCUGCAUCAACAAGGAGGAAGCCAAAGAAGACAAGAAGAAGGAAGGCUCCGCUGCUGGAUUCCGUGGUCUUUUGUCUGAAUCGGAGAGCUGCGCCUGGAGAAUUAUUAGAUUUUUUUCCCCCUGCUGAUUUCUUCUUGCUUCAUCGUCAUGACCACUCCUUUAGUUGCAUUGAUUUUCAUGCUUUUUAUUUUUUUAUUUUAAAAAAUCUUCUUAAAUAUUAGGAUUGCUACGUGUUGAGCUCUUCCCAGCAGCCACCUCUUGCUUCUGCCUCCGGCUCUAGGACUGAAGAACCGAACAAUUUUGUUUUAAAAGCAUCAGCAUCUUCAAGAGAUUUGGUCUGCUUGCUACAGCUGGGCACUGGUAUCUGCCCCCUUCUCUGUCUCCCAGCGUGUUUGUGUGUGUGUCUCUGUGUCUGUGAACCCCUUGCUUCCGCCAGGGUUCUCCUUUGCAUCCCGACCCUUUGUAGGUCAGUUGUGUGCCACUAGAUUCAUUAAUUGCCACAUCUAACCAACGACGCAAUCUCCCUUUCUAACACUCAUACUUACCUAGACUAACAUCCCCCACAGCCACUGUCCUUGUAGGGAGUGUGUGGCUAUAUUAUUAUUUUUUUGUGGGCUCCCAAACCUUCCUUUAAAUGAUACUUGCAUAAGAGUUUAAUUUUCCAGUAAAAAUGUGGAUCUGUCAUUAUUAACUUUUACUGAUAAUCUUGACUUUGCAUCACUGGCAUUGAAGGGCACAAGGGGCUAAGACUAGUAGACACCCUUGACCUGGGUGACACUUGGUCACAUGGGUAAGAUAUCAAGUUAGUUACUGAGUGCAGAUAAGCAGACACCCCCUUAUGUGCUUGUUGUGUGUUGUGCUUGUUUGGAUGAGUCCGCGACAUGCCUAAUAAGAGACGAGAUGGGCCAGGGCGAUGAGAGCGAUCGCAUUGUGAUCAAUGUGGGAGGGACCAGGCAUCAGACUUACCGCAGCACCUUGCGCACCUUGCCGGGCACUCGGCUGGCCUGGAUCGCUGAGCCAGAUGCCCACAGUCACUUUGACUAUGAUCCCCGUACGGAUGAGUUCUUCUUUGACCGGCAUCCAGGUGUCUUUGCCCAUAUCCUGAACUACUACCGCACAGGUAAGCUGCACUGCCCAGCAGAUGUAUGUGGACCUCUGUAUGAGGAGGAGCUGGCCUUCUGGGGCAUUGAUGAAACCGAUGUGGAGCCCUGUUGUUGGAUGACCUAUAGGCAGCACCGUGAUGCUGAAGAGGCCCUUGACAGUUUUGGUGGAGCACCUCUGGAUUGCAGUGCUGAUGAUGGAGAUGCAGAUGGCACUGGAGACUCAGGUGAUGGUGAGGAGGAGCUGGAGAUGACUAAACGCCUGGCACUCAGUGAUUCCCCAGAUGGAAGGCCUGGGGGCUUUUGGAAGAGGUGGCAGCCCCGUAUCUGGGCACUAUUUGAGGAUCCCUAUUCCUCCAGAUAUGCAAGGUAUAUCGCAUUUGCCUCCCUCUUCUUCAUUCUGGUUUCCAUCACUACUUUUUGCCUCGAGACCCAUGAGAGGUUUAAUCCCAUUGUUAACAAGACAGAGACGGAAAUUGUUGGGAAUGACACCCAGGUGCGCAUCUAUCGGGAAGCAGAGACAGAGGCCUUUCUGACAUACAUUGAAGGGGUCUGUGUGGUCUGGUUUACUUUUGAGUUCCUGAUGAGGGUCAUUUUUUGUCCAAACAAGAUGGAAUUUAUCAAAAAUACCUUGAACAUCAUUGACUUCGUGGCCAUACUUCCUUUCUAUCUGGAGGUUGGACUCAGUGGCCUGUCUUCCAAAGCUGCUAAGGAUGUCUUAGGCUUCCUGCGGGUCGUCCGGUUUGUGCGAAUCCUGCGAAUUUUCAAGCUGACCCGCCACUUUGUAGGGUUGCGGGUCUUGGGACAUACCCUCCGUGCCAGCACAAAUGAAUUCUUGCUGCUCAUCAUCUUCUUGGCAUUGGGCGUGUUAAUCUUUGCCACAAUGAUCUACUACGCUGAGAGAAUAGGUGCUAAACCCAAUGAUCCUAGUGCCAGUGAACACACACAUUUUAAAAAUAUCCCCAUUGGCUUCUGGUGGGCUGUUGUCACCAUGACUACCCUGGGCUAUGGAGACAUGUAUCCUCAGACUUGGUCAGGCAUGCUGGUGGGGGCUCUCUGUGCUCUUGCGGGUGUGUUGACCAUUGCCAUGCCUGUACCCGUCAUUGUGAACAAUUUUGGAAUGUAUUACUCCUUAGCUAUGGCUAAGCAGAAGCUACCAAAGAAAAAAAAGAAGCAUAUCCCGCGUCCGCCCCAGCUGGGAUCCCCCAAUUAUUGUAAAUCUGUCAUAAACUCUCCACAUCACAGUACUCAGAGCGACACAUGCCCACUCGCCCAAGAAGAAAUGUUAGAAAUUAACAGAGCAGGUAGGAAACCUCUUAGAGGAAUGUCCAUCUGACCGCUAACCUCUAUCCUUUUUAGAGAUUUAAAGAUUCAGUCAGACUGCUUUCUUAGAUCAAUGGGUAGCACAUUAUCCAUUACCGUUACCGUCCCGCCACCACACAUGGAAUAAUGUGUGGGACAUACAGGUUGCAGGGACAAAAUGGUACAGGAGAAGCUGACAAACAACAUUUAGAAGUGCACGCUAUAGGAGCUUUAACACUGGUCCCGUUUAAAGGGACACUUAAAAGAUCUGAAGAGAAAAAUGCACCUAAUGGAAGAUUUUUUUUAAAAAAAAGAGUUCUACAGCUUACAUUGCUGGACUACAUCACUACAUCAUGAUGGCUUCUGAAGGCUGAAUGCUUCCUAGCAUAGUGGGAGCCAAGGGCACAGAUCUUAUCCAAAGGGUGCGGGGAAGACAAUGCAUUGUUUUCCCUAGAUAUUUUCCCACUUGUUCCAAACUGCUUUUAAAGUGGCAGAAAACCAUGCAUGGUUAGAGAAACAAGGUGCCCACUUCAAGGAUGACUUGCAUCAACACAUGUAGAUUCAUGAGACUGCCAUGUCUCUUUCAGAUGGCUAGUCACCCAUUAGAAGGAGAGCUUAGAUUCUCCACAGAAACACAACAUGAUUCACAAGGGAACAAGGCUACAUCCAUAGCAGGCAACCCAACCUCUUUUUUUAAACAACAUAAUCUCAUAGAAGCUUAGCAUUUGGAACAAAAGAAGUAUCAAUGCCUUCUCCUGGAAGCUUAGGUCCAUGAUCUACAGCUUCUUCAACCUUCUAACAUUAAAAGCUGACUGGAAGGGGAAUAAUAUUUGCCAUUUGGGACUAACUUGUACUGAAGAGCCAUGAGUGAUAAUCUCACAGGGUACUUUUUUAAAAAAAAUGAUAGUGGUAAAUGACAGCAAUAAGAAAAUAUUCCCAGACUAAACUAUGCUCAUAUUAGUUCAAUGAUGGGGGUGGGGAACGAAAAUACUAGUCAUCAUGGAAUAUAUUAUAAUAUCCCAUGGCUAGUGGUUAGUUAUGGGACUAUCUCAGUUUUAUGAGACUCCUCAAAGAGCACACCAGGAGAGUUGCCAGGGCUUUGAUCUGAUUUGUUCAACCCCAUAAUCUACCUCUACCCAUGGAAUAUCAUUGACCUAUUCUGUGGAAAAAAUCCCAGUAAUUUUGAAGUAAAACUUGUUUUGGCCAGUGAAAUGAGCAUAGGUUGCAGCUAUGUGCAACCUUUAGCCUUUUUUAAAAAAGAACUUCCCAUGGUACCUAUUGCGAUAAGUCAUUUAUGCAGUGCUUCAUGAUCAACUUUAGUGAUUAGGGAUGUGUUUAAAGAAGCAGUUAAUCCUUAUGAUGGUCUUGCAGUAUCACUUAUUUAUUUACUUACUUUUGAUAGAAAUCUAAUUGAUCACUCCACACGGGUGAGAAAUCUCCUCUCUCCAUUUCAUAACCAUGCAUGUGGAUGCUAUUGAACAAACACAAAAGAAGUGCAACAUUCCUUUGUGUGUGGUUUCACCUGUGCCAAAUGCUGAUUUCAAGGAGAUGGGGAGGUGACGGGAGAACAAUUGACUUUUCUUUCCUUUCUUUGUUCAAGUCUGUAAAAUCCAUUCAGAUGGUAAAGAGCUUUCAUUUUUUCCACUAUAUUUCCCUGUAAAGUUGUUUAACCUUUCAAUUUGAUUUGAAGACUUCCAUUGCACCAGGCUGGCCACAAUCCAUGCAACGACUGCCUCUUUACUAUUUUACCCUUUGCGCACACCUAUGUGGUUUCCUCUGUCCAUUCUCCUCAGGUUGCAAAUGCUUAUCAUAAAGUCAUCACCAAGCAAUGAAGCAACUUUUACAUGAGUAAAUAAUUGCACUUCUGGCUCUGUAACGCUGGGAGGAUAAGAGCACACUCAUGAAACAGCGUGUCACCUUCAUCCAACUGCCCAGUAUCAUGGUAGAUUGUGUAUCCAUGGUUCAGUGUAGAACCAUUUUGUUCUCAUGAAUGCUCUAAAAACACAUGUAAUACCUGUGCAUACAAUUUCCUGCUGGCCACUUACUACCUCCUGUGUGAUUCAUCUCGUAUGUGGGAUUUGAAGGAGAAACUUCAAUGUGAACUGUACUGGAUAUAACACUAGCAACCAUUUUUGUGAUUGUAAUGACACUUCCAUGCAGUCAAGUUCAGACUGAGGUUUCUUCACUCAGUCCUGUACAUGAGAAAGCUUGUCUGAAGAAAACAAGUGGCCAACUUGCAUGUGUGAACAUUGGUGCCAGCAAUACAUUUUUGUUUUCAUCAGCUCCAAGCCCAUUCUUUAACCGAGCUGGAUUACAGUACCUGCUCAUUGAUUCAGUACACUCUAAAAUAGCAGUUAUAUAUAUAUUACGGGGUGGUUUUGUUUUGUUGAGAGGUGUGGAUGAGGAUGAGGGAACGUAAUGAAGGACAAAUGAUUAUCUUUCUCCACUCUUAUUAUCAUACACUCCCACUUCCUGUGAGCAGACAGUAUGUGGCAGCCAUCAUCAGCAGAUCACACCUAGGUUUCUGGUCAUCAGUCACAGAGGUUGGGCACCCCAUAUCAUGGAUGUGAGAAGGCUAAAGGCAGACUAAUCUGGCCCACACGGGCAAUGGCUAUAGGAUGGAUUAUAAUAGGGAGGGACUGCAAAAUGUCCAUGUUAUCCUGGGUAAUAUUAAAAAAUAAGGCCAAGAUAAUGCCGCUUUCCAUGAAGGAGCAUGCUUCUUUCUUUAUAACUGUUUCCUCGGCAGUUAGGUAUUACUUAGUUCUUUGUAUCUUAUGGAACAAAUUGCUAAGCAUUCACAAAGUUGCUUGAGACACAAACUUAAUGAAUGUUCUGUGCCAGGGGUGUAGCAAGGUUGGAGUGGGCCCAGAGACAAGAUUUUAAAAUGGGCCCCCCACUCACUGAAGCUCAGCUCAUGAAGUAAAGAAAUCUUAAAUGAGGCUGAAUAGUGGUAACAAAAAGCAUAGUAAUAUAUAUAUACCUAUGUGCCAUAGAACAUCAUCCUAAAUUAUUUUUUAAAAGGUUCUGUAAAUUGUGGACGAUGCAAGUCAUUUAAUGGUACUAGAGAAAGACAUGCUGUUCUGGUAGCUCCAGGUCUUAACACUCACAUCAGUUUCGGAGGAUGAAUACAACUGAAGGAAGCCCGGGCGGGUGCAUGGGUGGGGGAGUCAGUCAUGUGACUUCCCUCUGGGGAGGCCCCCCAAGGCAGUGGGCCCCCAGACAACUGUCUCCCCUUGCCCUAUUGUAGUUACGCCCCUGUUCUGUGCAUAUGAUGUUAGUUAAUGCUCUGACCCGAUGUAUGCAGUUCCCAGUCUUCUUGAACUAAAAAAAUGGAUUCUUCCAGGUUUAACGUUAUGCGAAAUUCUGAAUUAUUUAAAACCUCCUAACUGCCCUCACUGCCAGUCCUAGUCCAAUUACAGGACACUGGCAUAUUUUAAAUACUUACAUAGGUAUCUGCUAUUUCCAGCUUUUGUAGUCCAUGAUAAGAAAAGAGCCAUCAUGUUAAGUUGAUACAUUCCCUAAGGCAUACUUCAGUGCGAUGAUUAAAACUCACAGAAUGCUGAAGAGAAGAAAAUGGUCCCACCAUAUGUUUUAGAGAUCAGCAAUAUGAUAUGACUCUGAAUCUAGUGCACCUUUGCAUCUUGUUCAAAGGUGUUUGCAAGACCCAAUUCAGCUCCCUAGGCCAGUGAUCAAAAUCAAUAUAACAACUGUUGCUUGGUUCACUUGUAUAUGCUGAUUCUGCUAAGGUGAGCUGAUGAAUCUAAAAACAGGUGAACCAUAAGCACACAGAUUCAUCUAUGACAUUCUUGCCUUUGUGUCUCAUUAGAGACUUAAUAACCGCUAUCUAUAACUAUUGCAGUCUACUUCCUCAUAGAGGAUGCUUAGUUUGUUGUUGUUUUUUAAGUGUUUUGCCUUUUGAGGAAAGAGUAGAUUCCUGACUAGAACUUCACAAAACUCCAGUCUGUUGAAGUCCAUGGGGCAUAUAUGAAUGUAACUAUACAGAUGUACAUUAAUGUAUCAGUAUUUUAUUUUUAAACUUUACCUUGAAACUUGACUAUUGCAUGGUAAUUCUGCCCCAGACUUAAAGUCCCAUAGACACUGACUGUUGAAUUCAACACAAAAUCAUUAUUUUUCUCAUUUAUUUUGUUAUAUAAAGCGCUCUGUGAACUUUUUGUUCACAAGUUCAUACUUUAAUAAUAUAUAAAUAUUCAUAAUAAUAGUCAAUGAAACCCAGUGUUCAGGUUUAUAGCAAACUGUCCAAUAAGUGUAACACCUCCAGAGGUGUCUUAGCUUAGAAUUAAUUACAAAAAUCCAAACAUUAGCAUGGACCAUCAUGGCACUUUGCUUAAAAAGAAGCCUAACUUGGUGGGGAAGGGUGUAAUGUCCCAUGUAGUCAAGAGUAAUAGAUAACAUUGUCCCAGAAAACGCUAUCUGAAAAUAGAAUUCUGAAAUACGAAUGGAGUCCAGGGCUCAUGUACUGAUUAACGUUGUGUGCACAUAAGAACAUUUUAUGCAUGCCAAGAGGGGAUGAUGGUUUACACCAUCCCCCACUUUCCUCUGCUGCCCAAUUUUCCCUUCCCUGAAAAUAUGUCCCUAAGUACUGGCAAAUCUUUAGAGACAUAUUUUCAGUGGGGAGCAGAGGGAAGGGGAGGUUCGGUGUAAAUCAUCCCUUCCCCCUCACACAUGUAUGAAAUCUUCCAGUGCACAUGUGAUAUUAGUCAGUAAAUAAGUCUCUCUCUAUUUUUUUUUUCCUUGAUGUGUCUGUCAGGCUCAAGAUGGCAAGAGAAUGGUCCUCAGAAUUUUUCCGGUCACUUUGAGUCAUGAGUACCAUGCAUCAUUCUGACCUCUUCACUUACAAAAAAGCAUAGGUUGGCUCUUUACCCUGGCAAAUAACUGUAGGGGUUGGGCUAUUUCAGUGGGGGCCACAGUGAGGGGAGGAGGGCUCACCCUUUGUCCCCAUGCCAUUUCCCUGAUUUAACCACCUACCUGAAGCUGCUGUUAGCCAUGGAGACAAAAACAGAAGGCACAAUACUAUUGCCUGAUAUUCCUAUCUCCCACAGCUAUUAGCAGCUGAGGCUGUGAUUUGCAUUGGGGAACUGGUGUGGAGGAAAUUUUAGAACUUCUCUCCCCCCAGACCAUAGCCCUGAUCCAAACUGGCACCUUCUUUCAGCUGCUUUUUCAGAGAAGGGGGGGCGGGACUUUAAAUAUUGCUGAGUUUCCCACUGCCAAUGGCUUUGGCCAGUAAUGAGAUUAUAAAGAAACGCAUGGCUGCCAUUCAGGCCCCUAAUUCCAUUCCUGCUCACCCAACAGGAAGCAGCAGAAAGUGAGAGUACAAGUAGACCGCAUGGGGAUACCAUACAAUUGGGAGUAGGUGGGAGAAUGUGGCAUCUUAGUGGGUAUCAUGUCUGCCCUUAUUUUAAUAUGGGUGGUUCUGGAGGGACAAGCGUCUCAUCCAUUUUUGUUGUACAUUUAUAAUGUAAAAAACAAUGGAGUUAUACUAAUUUGGAUUUUUCCAUUGUGGGGAAAACAAAUGUUUUGUCCACGUUUCAGUUCAUGGUCAAGUUAAAGUUGAUUCCGUGCUUUUGUUAUAACUGAAAUUGGGGGCAUAUACUGAAUAUGAACAUGCAUUGAAAUCCUGACUGAACUUGUGUUUUUCACCAAACUGGUACUGAACCUGAACUUAUUUGAAACAUUAUGUUCAGUUGAACUCAUUUGACUCCUUGAAAUCAAUCAAAUAGCUUUUAUAUUCUAAAUUUCAGGAGCUCCUUCAAUAUAUUCCAUGCUUCAGUACUUAACAGAGAAACAGUCCAAUCUCCAUGAUAUUGGCUAUCAUCUGACCUUGAGACUUUGGCCUCCAGGGUUGAAACAUAACCUGCUGUUUACAUGAAAUGAUAUUAAAAAUCUUUGAGAUUGUAUAUCCUACUAGUUGAUUCACUCCAUUUAUGGUUAAAGAGCAGAGGAUAUCAUAUUACGAUCCCUUAAAUGUCAAAACUGGACUAUUGUUCACCCGCAUCUUGGUGCUCUAUAACAUAUUGUUGCAAGGAGAGCACUCUAGAUAUUAUUCUUGAAUUACCAUGAAUGUCACUCACCAAAGUGAGAUUGGAAGGGUGAGCUAAGAAGAGCCCUCUAACAUGUGAUGUCACACCAAGCUGUUUGCCUCAGUGACAGUAGUACAAGUGCAAGUUAAGUUGAAAGCAACUGUGAGGUGUCCUUUGAACCUCACUGAGUCAUCUUCUCCACUGAUGUAAAUUGACCCAGCUGUAGUAAUUUCAGUGUCGGACUAAUUUUAGUCUGACACUGGGUGAAGUUACCAAAACUGCUUACAAAACAGUUAUGUGCUGAUUUGAACACUUUUUCGCAGCUUAACAAAAACCAGUGCUUGCAACACCUUUGCCCUUCUUCCUUUUUAUAGAUGGGAAGCUGACGCACUAGGGGUUUGAAGACUGGAUCUAGGAAUUUACACUGGCUUUACACUGGCCUUCUAAUAUAGAGCAAAUUAUGGCUGGUAAGCACAGCUCCAAAAAUCAUUGGAGAUUUGCAUAGACAUAAAUCUCAGGAGUAUACUCUUCCUUACUCUUCAGAACAUGAUGUGAACUUCAGCCAAAGUCUUUUUGUACUUGUUGCUUUCAUAAAACAAAACCAUUCCUGCUCUCAUCAUCCUUCUCAUUCAUUCCUGCUCCAUGAAUGGCAUACAUCCCAUAAGCUACAGAGCUUCAUAUUAUAGGGUCUAUUGUCUAAGAACUGAACUGGACUCAGAGAGUGGUGCUGUAAGAUUGUAAGUGGUGGCUAGGAGAGGUGGCUGAUGCAAUGACUAGCUCUCCUAGCUUUACAUAGUAGCAUUCUGCAAUAUCCCCAGGUAUCUGACCAGCUCUUUGACUAUUCAUCCUGCUAUGAAACUACCAUGAUUUUAGUUUGAUUUCAUAGGUACAGUAACCACUGUGAGUGAGGCUCUAAGUACUGCAAGACCACCGCUAGUUCUGAGGUACUUUUUUUUUUGGAAGUAAAUUGCUUCCGGGAACAACCUUUUUUCAGGAUUGCACUAUCGAACCUUACCAGAGUCACCUUUAAAGAGAGACUGCCUGACCUUCACAUGCUCUCAUUCUGACCCCUUGUCUUCAGAUGUCAGUAAACCAACAUGUCACCUCACUCCAAGAAACAGUGCCUCUAAAUGGUGGUAUUGUCUAGGAGGGAGGUCACAGCGUUGGCCAGUAAGGUUUGUGAGAGAUUAUUCCCUGAAGUACCUUUAUUGGGAGCUACACUUCCUGGAGGGAUCCAGUCGAACACAUUGAUCCGAAACUGAAUGGGGAGGUGGCCAAGGCGGCG